AGCAGUGGGGAAUAUUGCACAAUGGGCGCAAGCCUGAUGCAGCAACGCCGCGUGAGGGAUGACGGCCUUCGGGUUGUAAACCUCUUUUAGUAGGGAAGAAGCGAAAGUGACGGUACCUGCAGAAAAAGCACCGGCUAACUACGUGCCAGCAGCCGCGGUAAUACGUAGGGUGCAAGCGUUGUCCGGAAUUAUUGGGCGUAAAGAGCUCGUAGGCGGUUUGUCGCGUCUGCUGUGAAAUCCCGAGGCUCAACCUCGGGCCUGCAGUGGGUACGGGCAAACUAGAGUGCGGUAGGGGAGAUUGGAACUCCUGGUGUAGCGGUGGAAUGCGCAGAUAUCAGGAAGAACACCGAUGGCGAAGGCAGAUCUCUGGGCCGUUACUGACGCUGAGGAGCGAAAGCGUGGGGAGCGAACAGGAUUAGAUACCCUGGUAGUCCACGCCGUAAACGUUGGGAACUAGAUGUAGGGUCCAUUCCACGGAUUCUGUGUCGCAGCUAACGCA
rnacentral:rRNA from 1 species